UACGUAGGUGGCGAGCGUUGUCCGGAUUUACUGGGCGUAAAGAGCGCGCAGGCGGUCAAGUAAGUCGAAUGUGAAAGCCCCCGGCUCAACUGGGGAGGGUCAUUCGAUACUGCUCGACUCGAAGGCAGGAGAGGGAUGCGGAAUUCCAGGUGUAGCGGUGAAAUGCGUAGAUAUCUGGAGGAACACCGGUGGCGAAGGCGGCAUCCUGGACCGGCACUGACACUGAGGAGCGAAAGCCAGGGGAGCAAACGGG
rnacentral:rRNA from 1 species